UCGGAUUUGGGACUAAGGCCGCUGACUCUGCAUCCCUUACAAGCAUACACAGCUGCCUGCCCUUUUGCCUUGUGUCCAUCCUGGAACGGCCUUCUGCAAGAUUCUAUGUUACCUGUCCUCGGUCCACUUGGAAUCUCUUGAGAGAGCCGAGUCCUGUGUGUUCCUAGGCCCUGCCACAGAGACCUGGACGCCCUGCCUGUUGAGGCAAGGUUGUGGAUGUCCCGGGCCUUAUGGUCCCUGCUUCGCAUGAUGUGGGGCAGCAUCCAUCUGAACGCUCAUCACUACCAAGGCCAAGGUUUUGGAAGGAAGUCCUUCUUCUCCCAUCUUAGUAUUAGACCAUCGGAUUUGGGACACGGGACUAAGGCCGCUGACUCUGCAUCCCUUACAAGCAUACACAGCUGCCUGCCCUUUUGCCUUGUGUCCAUCCUGGAGCGGCCUUCUGCAAGAUUCUAUGUUACCUGUCCUCGGUCCACUUGGAAUCUCUUGAGAGAGCCGAGUCGUGUGUGUUCCUAGGCCCUGCCACAGGGACCUGGACGCCCUGCCUGUUGAGGCAAGGUUGUGGAUGUCCCGGGCCUUAUGGUUCCUGCUUCGCAUGAUGUGGGGCAGCAUCCAUCUGAACGCUCAUCACUAGCAAGGCCAAGGUUUUGGAAGGAAGUCCUUCUUCUCCCAUCUUAGUAUUAGACCAUCGGAUUUGGGACACGGGACUAAGGCCGCUGACUCUGCAUCCCUUACAAGCAUACACAGCUGCCUGCCCUUUUGCCUUGUGUCCAUCCUGGAGCGGCCUUCUGCAAGAUUCUAUGUUACCUGUCCUCGGUCCACUUGGAAUCUCUUGAGAGAGCCGAGUCGUGUGUGUUCCUAGGCCCUGCCACAGGUAGGUGGGUGUCCACAGAGGAUAC